GGGACCUUCAAUUCGUUCAGAGAGCAAGCUUUCUUAAACUCUCUGAAUGGGUUGAAUGUGCCAC
rnacentral:pre_miRNA from 1 species